GCACCCGGGUCCACGGCUCAGCGGCUGGACCGCGGGGCCGGCGCCACUAUGCCGGUCACCGGGAAGACUUUUCGCCGGCGCCGGGCCGACUCAGAAUCGGAGGAAGAUGAGCAAGAUUCAGAGGAGGUUCGAUUAAAACUGGAAGAAACCCGAGAGGUGCAGAACUUACGGAAGAGACCCAAUGGGGUGAGUGCGGUGGCCCUGCUAGUGGGAGAGAAGGUACAGGAAGAGACCACACUAGUGGAUGAUCCCUUCCAGAUGAAAACCGGCGGGAUGGUGGACAUGAAGAAACUGAAGGAAAGGGGCAAAGACAAGAUCAGUGAAGAGGAAGACCUCCACCUGGGAACUUCCUUUUCCGCAGAAACCAACCGCAGGGACGAGGACGCCGACAUGAUGAAGUACAUCGAGACAGAGCUAAAGAAGAGGAAGGGGAUCGUGGAUCACGAGGAGCAGAAAGUCAAGCCAAAGAACGCAGAGGACUGUCUUUACGAACUUCCAGAAAACAUCCGCGUCUCCUCGGCAAAGAAGACAGAGGAGAUGCUCUCUAACCAGAUGCUGAGCGGCAUCCCAGAGGUGGACCUGGGCAUCGAUGCGAAAAUAAAAAAUAUCAUUUCCACGGAGGACGCCAAGGCCCGGCUGCUGGCGGAGCAGCAGAACAAGAAGAAAGACAGCGAGACGUCCUUCGUGCCCACCAACAUGGCGGUGAAUUACGUGCAGCACAACCGAUUUUAUCAUGAGGAGCUCAAUGCCCCUAUCCGGAGAAACAAAGAAGAGCCCAAAGCCCGGCCCUUGCGAGUGGGUGACACAGAGAGGCCGGAGCCUGAGCGGUCCCCGCCCAACCGCAAGCGUCCCGCUAACGAGAAGGCCACGGAUGACUAUCACUAUGAGAAGUUCAAGAAGAUGAACAGGCGGUACUGAGAGGGACUUGGGGGGAGGGGGUGCUGGGGGAACAGUGCUGGAGGGAUGUGGAGAGCCGCCUUGCCCACCCCCACCCCCUUCAGAGGCUUCCUGGACUGAAGCCUGCUCAUUUGCUAGCAGAUGUUUCCACAAACAGACUCUGUUAGUUCUGCUGCUUACCUGCUGGAUUUUUUCAGGCACUGAAUUUGUAACCUUUUGAAACAAAGCAACGUGUCCUUUUCCUAUUUGGAGUACCCGCCAUGGGGUUCGGAGAUGCAUCCUUCACUAUCUGCGAUUGGCCCACCUGAGGCAGAAACGUCCAGGGUGGGAUCAAAGGGAGAUGAGUAUCUUCUGACUUUUGCAAAGUUACCCGUUUCUUUUCAUCAAGAAAGAAAAACAAUUUCUUGCACUUUCAGCACUUAAUUAAAUACAAAAUGACUCCAACCUUCUUGUUUGUAUU